GAUGAUGUUUUUAUGUAUCAUUCAUCCAUGCAAUUGUUCGAGAUAGAGAUGUUUUUGGUACAAUAUCCUGACUAAAUCUCGAAUAUAUGUAAUCAUCGACAACAAAUAUUGAAGUCGUAUUGCAGAAUCAAACAGAAGAUACAUAAUAUCCACUUCUAUAUAAACUAACACAAACACCUUCCCAUUUAUCCCAUUCCUCAAGCCCUCCAAUACAACCUCCCACUCACUUCACUCCUCAUCUCAAUCUCCUCCCUCAAAAUCUAGCACUUUAAAAACCCCAGAGUUGAAUCUCUUCCUACCAACCCAAACAGAU
rnacentral:lncRNA from 1 species